GCUAGGCACUUACUCUGUCUCUCUUUGGAGGGCCGUCAGGAUCAGGGACUUGAGGCUGGAACACAAGUGGCAGGUGUCAGGAACCCAAGAGCCGCCUCAGCCUGGCCCCGCCCCGCCCCUGGCCCAGCCCACCUCUCCCGUUGCUCCACCACCAGCCGCCGCCAGCCAGUGCUCAGUCGUCUGCGGGUCAGCACAGCUGCGAACUGCCGGAUCUGGGAUGAGGAAGCAAGCAUGUGAGGGUUCCGGCAGGGAGAAGCAGCAGGCAUGUGAGAGUCGGAGCAGGAAGGCGCGGGACGCCGGGGGCUGGAGCUGGGGCUGGAUAGAGCUCCGGCUCCGCCACUUCCGUUGGGCUGAGCUCAGGCUGAGCCGCUGAAAAAGGGCCCUGGUAAUGGAGGUUCCCCCAGCCGAGAGUUCCCAAGCUCCGUGGAGAAUUCGAAUCCCGUGCUUUCCGCUGCCGACCCGGCUUUCUAUGAGACAGUGCCCUUAACGGCAAGGCACGCGUUCCGAUAUCCAGACCAAAUCCUCCAACUACAGGAAAGGGCAGUCCUCACCAGAGAAGAGACUGGUGGUGAGAAUGAUGUUCCACACCCAACGCUCGCCUCCGAUCUGCCGGUAGAAG